rnacentral:rRNA from 1 species
GACGAACCACACAAACGUUAUUCGGAAUUACUGGGCUUAAAGGGUGCGUAGGCGGCGCAGCAAGUAGGGUGUGAAAUCCCUCGGCUCAACCGAGGAACUGCGCCCUAAACUACCGUGCUCGAGGGAGGUAGAGGUGAGCGGAACUUAGGGUGGAGCGGUGAAAUGCGUUGAUAUCCUAAGGAACACCGGUGGCGAAAGCGGCUCACUGGACCUCUUCUGACGCUGAGGCACGAAAGCUAGGGUAGCGAACGGG